UACGGAGGAUGCGAGCGUUAUCCGGAUUUAUUGGGUUUAAAGGGUGCGUAGGCGGGCUUUUAAGUCAGCGGUAAAAAUUCGGGGCUCAACCCCGUCCGGCCGUUGAAACUGGGGGCCUUGAGUGGGCGAGAAGAAGGCGGAAUGCGUGGUGUAGCGGUGAAAUGCAUAGAUAUCACGCAGAACCCCGAUUGCGAAGGCAGCCUUCCGGCGACCUACUGACGCUGAGGCACGAAAGUGCGGGGAUCGAACAGG
rnacentral:rRNA from 1 species